UACAGAGGGGGCAAGCGUUGUUCGGAAUCACUGGGCGUAAAGGGCGCGUAGGCGGUCUGUUAAGCGUGUGGUGAAAGCUCGGGGCUCAACCCCGAGUCUGCCAUGCGAACUGGUGGACUUGAGCACUGUAGAGGCAGGUGGAAUUCCGGGUGUAGCGGUGGAAUGCGUAGAGAUCCGGAAGAACACCGGUGGCGAAGGCGGCCUGCUGGGCAGUUGCUGACGCUGAGGCGCGACAGCGUGGGGAGCAAACAGG
rnacentral:rRNA from 1 species